GCCCCCGUUGUCUAAUGGUUAUGACGUCAGACUUCUAACUUGCAUCCUGUCUUGUUAUAUCUGGAGGUUGCGGGUUCGAGUCCCGCCGGGGGUU